AGCGAUGCUGAGCUGAGGAGGAGCGAUGCUGAGCUGAGGAGGAGCGAUGCUGAGCUGAGGAGGAGAGAUGCUGAGCUGAAGUAGCUCUCACACACAGAGGAUCACAUCCAUUUACUCCAGGCCGUAUCUCCUUUAAGCAUUUGAAGACAUCAGUCUCUGAACUGAAAGAUCCACAACAAGACAUAUACAAGGAGGAAAUGGACAAGAUAUCUGGGGACGACUCCUGCCAGCUGACGUUGGAUCCCAAUACAGCACAACAGUACCUGUGUCUGUCUGAGGAAAAUAGAAAGGUGACCAUUAGUUCUAAGGUCCAGUUAUAUCCUGAUCAUUCAGACAGAUUUACCUUCUUCAAGCAGGUGCUGUGUAGAGAGGCUCUGUCUGGAGCCUGCUACUGGGAGGUAGAGUGGAGCGGGAAUUGGGUUCGUAUAGCUGUCUCAUAUAAAGGAAUCAGCAGGAAAGGAGAUGGUAAUGAGUGUUUGUUUGGGGGUAGUGAUCAGUCUUGGAGGUUUGACUGCACUCCAUCCAGCUGCUGUUUCAUCCACAAUGAUCACAGUACUGAUAUCCCUGUCCCAUGCUCUUCCAGAGUAGGAGUGCACCUAGACCACAAUGCAGGAACUCUGUCCUUCUACAGCGCCUACGACAAAAUGACCCUCCACAGAGUCCAGGCCACAUUCACUCAGCCAUUCUAUCUUUGGUUCAUUUGCUGGAUCAUCUGAAGAUACUGACACCUAUUCAGUGACAAAGCUAUUAGUCUGCUGGCCUUGUUGAUACAUGUACAGUAGGACAAAGAUUGAUUGACUGUGGCCGAAGUUUGAUGUAAGAUUGCAGAUAUCAUAGAGUACAGACAGCAUAGUUGCUUAAUUUGCAUGUACAGAGGGGUGAACAAAACCAAGUGUAUAUGAACGCAUAAUGAGACAUUCAUGCACUGGAAGGAGUUCUUGACAGGUGAAAGAGUCCAAUCAUCAUUGAGUUCAGUUUAUUCAGUGUCUGGUGGCACAACACUGCUGAACUAUUUCAGGGGAAGAGACAUUUGUACUUGAUCGGGAUGAGGUCGUUUGACUUGGUUGCUACGCAAUAAAUGAGAAGUUAAUUGGCUCAUUUCAUGAAGUGGAGCUUUGGUUCAUGUUCACUGUACAUCUGUUAGUUAUUAUUAUUUGCAAAAAUGUGUAGCUACACUGUACUUGCCUAUGUAACUGCUGUACCAUGUUAAUACAUUGGUAAUAGGGACACAUUGUAAAGUGAGACCGUUGUUUUUGUUCUAGUCCAAUAAAACUGAGCCGAUGA